rnacentral:rRNA from 1 species
UACGUAGGGUGCAAGCGUUGUCCGGAAUUAUUGGGCGUAAAGAGCUCGUAGGCGGUCUGUCGCGUCGGCUGUGAAAACCCGGAGCUCAACUCCGGGCCUGCAGUCGAUACGGGCAAACUGGAGUGUUGCAGGGGAGACUGGAAUUCCUGGUGUAGCGGUGAAAUGCGCAGAUAUCGUGAGGAAGACCAGUGGCGAAGGCGGGUCUCUGGACAGUUCCUGACGCUGAGGCGCGAAGGCCAGGGGAGCAAACGGG